rnacentral:rRNA from 1 species
GACGAACGCUGGCGGCGUGCUUAACACAUGCAAGUCGAGCGAAUGGAUUAAGAGCUUGCUCUUAUGAAGUUAGCGGCGGACGGGUGAGUAACACGUGGGUAACCUGCCCAUAAGACUGGGAUAACUCCGGGAAACCGGGGCUAAUACCGGAUAACAUUUUGAACCGCAUGGUUCGAAAUUGAAAGGCGGCUUCGGCUGUCACUUAUGGAUGGACCCGCGUAGCAUUAGCUAGUUGGUGAGGUAACGGCUCACCAAGGCAACGAUGCGUAGCCGGCUUGAGAGGGUGAGCGGCCACACUGGGACUGAGACACGGCCCAGACGCCUACGGGAGGCAGCAGUAGGGAAUCUUCAGCAAUGGACGAAAGUCUGACGGAGCAACGCCGCGUGAGUGAUGAAGGCUUUCGGGUCGUAAAACUCUGUUGUUAGGGAAGAACAAGUGCUAGUUGAAUAAGCUGGCACCUUGACGGUACCUAACCAGAAAGCCACGGCUAACUACGUGCCAGCCGCCGCCGUAA